ensembl:lncRNA
UGUUGUAGUAGGCGUCUUGUGGGGGUACGGGAUGUACAGGACAGGCCUCUCCCUAAGCAUAGAGAGACAGUGCUAUCGUGCUGACUUUGAUGCAGAGAAAACAGGAGAAGAAGAAAGAUGGGAAAGAAUGUGGAAACGGCCAAAUAAGGCACAAUGUUAUCUGGCGCGAACCAAUCAGGGUGGGACAUGACAGCACGGUUGUUUAGGUAAAAAUGUAUAUAAGCUGUGUUUAGUAGUGAAUAAACGCCAUUUGCCUCACUUACUCCUGGGGUCUGGGUGAGCAUCUGGCCCCGACCUGGUAAAGGGUCGGUUUCGCCCAGCAGUAAGCCCUACAUGUGGACAGAGGACGAACACCGGACGAGCGAACGGAGACUACAUGCAACAAGUGGUGACCCCGACGUGAUCUGUCUGCUGAGGGUGGCUGCCCGGCGUGCCCGUGACGCGGAGAAGAGCCUGUGAGGUGGCGGCAGGUCGCGCACGGAAGACGUAUUGCGGUUAAGAGCCUGCGAGGUGGCGGCAGGUCGCAUACGUAACAAUGGACCAAGUCAUUAAGGUACUUGUGCAGUUUUGUAAGGACUACUGUGGAAAAUCUGCUCCUUCCCGGAAGGAGAUCGCGGCAGUUUUGUCGCUAUUAAAUGAGCUGGGGGAGCUGGACUCUCCCCGCUACGUUUUGGAUUCGAGUAGGUGGGACUUGCUCACCUCGGCGCUAUGCCAGCGCGCCAUGGCCAGUCAGAAGGCUACGGAACUUAAAACGUGGGGACUGAUAUUAGGAGCCCUUAAAGCGGCCAGAGUUGAGGGAAAGGUAUUGGUGGAGGCUCGAUACCUUUUGGGUCUCAGCGGAGGAGGUGAGACACAGGACCCGGUCGGGUCCGAUGGGGGUUCGGGAGCAGUUUCUUGCAGGGGCCGAGAGGAGACGGAGCCGCCAAUGACCGUUGGCGGGAUGGCGCCGGCUGAGCCGACCGCGCUCAGUUCAAAAGAAGACAAACAACAAGAGAGUGAAAGUUCGUUGUCUCGUCCCCCUCUCCCGUAUCCACACCCCUCAGGCGGAACGUUGUAUCCUUUAUCAGAAUUACGUCAGUGUUACCUGACUCAAGAGGGCGGAGGAAGCUGUGAUCUACACGGGCAGGAUCAACUUAGUGCCCACAUGGGGAGGGACCAGACAAAAGGUCCGUCCAAUGCGGACAGGGGGCAUAGCCUACUGUCUCUGGUCACUCCCAGGGGCGGUAGUGCGAGUGAUAGUGUAGAGGAGAAAGAAGGGACUGGCUUUGAGUGCAGGGGGAGGGAUCAAAUGACGGACUGGAAUGGGAUUAGAUCGGAGGCUUUGGGAAAGGGUAUAGUUCCAGAGGCAUUCCGGGUGAUUGUGAGUGAUCGUGGUCCCGAAUGGGUGCCGCCUGACCCCGGGGGUGUUACGCGCCUGGUGGAAUUUAUGGAUAAAAGAGGCCUGAAAUCGCCUCUGACAUUAAAUGCACUACAAACUUUGGCUGCACUGGGGCCUCUCUUCCCCCGUGACAUCACAAACUUAAUGCGUACGGUGCUCAGGCUGGUUCAGUAUACGUUAUGGGAGACGGACUGGGUGGCCGAGUUGGGGGGCCGUGCCGGGGCGACAGGGGUCGGCUCGCGCCGCUCCCUGCAUGGGACCGGAAUCCAGCGGCUUUCAGGGAAGGCCGUGGGAGUGGCUUCGCCCCAGGGCCAGCUAGCGAGACUAAGGCCAGGGGAGCUAAUAGCAGCCACAAAUGCAACGGUGGAAGCGUUUAAUAAACUUGUGCAUAAGGCCGAACCACCUACUCCGUGCACAGAUAUUACCCAGGGCCCGAAUGAAUCCUUUCAAAGCUUUACAGACAGGCUUUUAGCUGCUGCAGAGGGGUCUGAUCUCCUGGAACCGGCCCAAGGGCCAGUGAUCAUUGACUGCUUGCAGCAGAAAUCGCAUGACAAUGUUAAGGCAUUGCUGCGAGCCGGCCGAAGUACGCUUAAUACCUCGGGAGCCGGCCGAAGUACGCUUAAUACCUCGGGAGAAGUUAUUCAGUAUGUCUUAGAUAAGCUCAAGGUGGCUCAUUUAACUAAUGAAAGGCUAGUCACAGCUAUUGUCGUAGCUGCUGGCCUGCGACAGCAAAGAUCGCUGCAGCAGCAAGGGCUGUGUUUCCGAUACGGCCAGUAUGGCCAUGUUAGAGCACAAUGCCCCUGUGGGGGAGGCCAGUCAGGGCCUCCUGAUCACAGGAAGGGCUUGCUGAAGGGUAUCCGUGGUCGGGUAUGCAGCAGUUAAACAUCAUGAAUCUGGGAAAUUCUGUGGGUACCAUCGCGAAAAGUAAUACCAGAUAUAAGUAGCAUAUCUGCAAAAACUGAGUCUAGGUGCGAGUUUUCUACAGAAAUUCUUCGUUGGCAGACCGAAGCCAACUCCAGAACAACUGAGGGACAGACGAUGGGAUCAAGAACCACUCGUCAAGAGGAGCACUACACCUGCAACGCUGACACUUCCGAUGUUGCUGAUAUUUAUGGUGUCCAUGGCGAUUACAGAGUGUCACAAACAACUACAAUGGACACAAGAACAUAUGCAGAAAAUUAAAGAAGAGCGUGAUCCCUUUGGAAGCUGGCUGGACGGACUGUUUGGGGGAACGGGUUCAUGGUUAAAGCAAUUGCUUAAAGCUCUCGCAGUAGGAUUUGCAAUCUUUGUGUGUAUUCUAAUCUGUCUUCCAUGCUUUGUAGGAUGCUUGCAGAACUGCCUUCAACGAAUGAUGGACAAGACUUUUGACUAUCACAUUGAGUAUCAUAGAUUGCGUGAAAAAUUAUAGAGGGGUUUAGGUUGUUGCGUUCGUGCUGUAACGGGGCAAGGCUUGGCCGAGCACGGGAAAGAAUUCCCUGUUGCUCUGAUGAUUGCUUAAGAACUGUAGUAGAAAAUAGUAGGAAUAGUGUGCUGAAAUAUAUUUAGGAUUAGGCGUUUUGCGCUGCUUCGCGAUGUACGGGUUAGGUGUGUGUGUAAGUAGUAUCUAGCUUAGGGAGGGGGAGAUGUUGUAGUAGGCGUCUUGCGGGGGCACGGGAUGUACGGGACAGGCCUCUCCCUAAACAUAGAGAGAUAGUGCUAUCGUGCUGACCUUGUUGCAGAGAAAACAGGAGAAGAAGAAGGAUGAUAAAAGAAUGUGGAAAUGGCCAAAUAAGGCACAAUGUUAUCUGGUGUGAACUAAUCAGAGUGGGACAUGACAGCACGGUUAUCUAGGUAAAAAUGUAUAUAAGCUGUGUUUAGUAGUGAAUAAACGCCAUUUGCCUCACUUACUCCUGGGGUCUGGGUGAGCAUCUGGCCCCGACCUGGUAAAGGGUCGGUUUCGCCCAGCAGUAAGCCCUACAUGUGGACAGAGGACGAACACCGGACGAGCGAACGGAGACUACAUGCAACAUA